AUUGAACGCUGGCGGCAUGCCUUACACAUGCAAGUCGAACGGCAGCACGGGAGCUUGCUCCUGGUGGCGAGUGGCGAACGGGUGAGUAAUGCAUCGGAACGUGCCCUGAAGUGGGGGAUAACGUAGCGAAAGUUACGCUAAUACCGCAUAUUCUGUGAGCAGGAAAGCAGGGGAUCUUCGGACCUUGCGUUUUCGGAGCGGCCGAUAUCGGAUUAGCUAGUAGGUGAGGUAAAGGCUCACCUAGGCGACGAUCCGUAGCUGGUCUGAGAGGACGACCAGCCACACUGGAACUGAGACACGGUCCAGACUCCUACGGGAGGCAGCAGUGGGGAAUUUUGGACAAUGGGCGCAAGCCUGAUCCAGCCAUGCCGCGUGAGUGAAGAAGGCC
rnacentral:rRNA from 1 species